CCUACGGGAGGCAGCAGUGAGGAAUAUUGGUCAAUGGACGAGAGUCUGAACCAGCCAAGUAGCGUGAAGGAUGACUGCCCUCUGGGUUGUAAACUUCUUUUAUAAAGGAAUAAAACGAGGCACGUGUUCCUUUUUGCAUGUCCUUUAUGAAUAAGGAUCGGCUAACGCCGUGCCAGCAGCCGCGGUAAUAAGGAGGAUCCGAGCGUUAUCCGGAUUUAGUGGGUUUAAAGGGAGCGUAGAUGGGUUGUUAAGUCAGUUGUGAAAGUUUGCGGCUCAACCGUAAAAUUGCAAUUGAUACUGGCGGUCUUGAGUGCAGUUGAGGUAAGCGGAAUUCGUGGUGUAGCGGUGAAAUGCGUAGAUAUCACGAAGAACCCCGAUUGCGAAGGCAGCUUACUAAACUGUGACUGACAUUGAGGCUCGAAAGUGUGGGUAUCAAACAGGAUUAGAUACCCUUGUAGUC
rnacentral:rRNA from 1 species